rnacentral:rRNA from 1 species
AGUGAACGCUGGCGGCAGGCCUAACACAUGCAAGUCGAGCGGCAGCGGGUCCCCGCGAGGGGAGUGCCGGCGAGCGGCGGACGGGUGAGGAACACAUCGGAAUCUGCCUGGUUGUGGGGGAUAACGUAGGGAAACUUACGCUAAUACCGCAUGCGACCCUGAGUCGACGGACUGGGGGUGAAAGUGAGGGACCUUCGGCCUCACGCGACCAGAUGAGCCGAUGUCGGAUUAGCUAGUUGGCGGGGUAACGGCCCGCCAAGGCGACGAUCCGUAGCUGGUCUGAGAGGAUGAUCAGCCACACUGGGACUGAGACACGGCCCA